GUAGUAUCGGUGGAAGCCGUCGGCUAGCGCUGCGCCCCCCGGGGGCCCUGUGCCCUUGGCCCGGCGCCAGCGGUCGGCGGCUGCGCGCUCUCGGGGCACGAAGGGUGCGGGGCCAGGGGGUGGGCGAGCGGCGGGAUACGCCGGACUGGGCAGCGGCUGCGGCGGUGGCGGGGGUUUGGCCGGCGGCGGAGCAGCCUCAGCGCUGCAGCAGCUGUACAUACCCUGCCCCUGCCUCCUCGCUCCCUUUCUUACCCUGGAGAAGGCCAGUAGGAAAUCCAUGCGGUGGGUGGGCCCCAGACAGUGCCGCAGUCGCCAGUACACAAGGUGUUCCCAGGCGAAGACCAGCAAGGAGAGGCCCA
rnacentral:lncRNA from 1 species